GUUCCAGUCAGAGAGUUCCAGACCACUCAGAGAGCUCCCAGACCACUCAGAGAGCUCCCAGACCACUCAGAGAGCUCCCAGACCACUCAGAGAGCUCCCAGACCACUCAGAGAGCUCCCAGACCACUCAGAGAGUUCCCAGACCACUCAGAGAGCUCCCAGACCACAGAGAGUUCCCAGACCACUCAGAGAGUUCCCAGACCACUCAGAGAGUUCCCAGACCACUCAGAGAGUUCCAGACCACAGAGAGUUCCAGACCACAGAGAGUUCCAGACCACUCAGAGAGUUCCAGACCACUCAGAGAGUUCCAGACCACUCAGAGAGUUCCAGACCACUCAGAGAGUUCCAGACCACUCAGAGAGUUCCAGACCACUCAGAGAGUUCCAGACCACAGAGAGUUCCAGACCACAGAGAGUUCCAGACCACACAGAGAGUUCCAGACCACUCAGAGAGUUCCCAGACCACUCAGAGAGUUCCCAGACCACUCAGAGAGUUCCAGACCACUCAGAGAGUUCCAGACCACUCAGAGAGUUCCAGACCACAGAGAGUUCCAGACCACAGAGAGUUCCAGACCACUCAGAGAGUUCCCAGACCACUCAGAGAGUUCCCAGACCACUCAGAGAGUUCCCAGACCACUCAGAGAGUUCCAGACCACAGAGAGUUCCAGACCACUCAGAGAGUUCCAGACCACUCAGAGAGUUCCAGACCACUCAGAGAGUUCCCAGACCACUCAGAGAGUUCCAGACCACUCAGAGAGCUCCCAUACCACUCAGAGAGCUCCCAGACCACUCAGAGAGCUCCCAGACCACUCAGAGAGCUCCCAGACCACUCAGAGAGUUCCAGACCACAGAGAGUUCCAGACCACAGAGAGUUCCCAGACCACUCAGAGAGUUCCAGACCACUCAGAGAGCUCCCAGACCACUCAGAGAGUUCCAGACCACUCAGAGAGUUCCAGACCACUCAGAGAGUUCCAGACCACUCAGAGAGUUCCAGACCACACAGAGAGUUCCCAUACCACUCAGAGAAGUUCCAGACCACUCAGAGAGCUCCCAGACCACUCAGAGAGUUCCAGACCACUCAGAGAGUUCCAGACCACAGAGAGUUCCAGACCACUCAGAGAGUUCCAGACCACAGAGAGUUCCAGACCACUCAGAGAGUUCCAGACCACUCAGAGAGUUCCAGACCACUCAGAGAGUUCCAGACCACUCAGAGAGUUCCAGACCACUCAGAGAGUUCCAGACCACAGAGAGUUCCAGACCACUCAGAGAGUUCCAGACCACUCAGAGAGUUCCAGACCACUCAGAGAGUUCCAGACCACUCAGAGAGUUCCAGACCACUCAGAGAGCUCCCAGACCACUCAGAGAGUUCCCAGACCACUCAGAGAGCUCCCAGACCACUCAGAGAGCUCCCAGACCACUCAGAGAGCUCCCAGACCACUCAGAGAGCUCCCAGACCACUCAGAGAGCUCCCAGACCACUCAGAGAGCUCCUAGACCACUCAGAGAGUUCCAGACCACAGAGAGUUCCAGACCACAGAGAGUUCCAGACCACUCAGAGAGUUCCAGACCACAGAGAUUCCCAGACCACUCAGAGAGCUCCCAGACCACUCAGAGAGCUCCCAGACCACUCAGAGAUCUCCCAGAUGGGAGGGAGCCAGUGAGAGAGGAGGCUGGCCUGGUGGAGAGGGCGAGAUACUGUUUUAUCAGGAUGCAUGUUUUCUGUAUGUGCUCCACUUCAUCCCUGGUUACUUAACGAUAAUGAAUUAAGGAAAAGGCUAAUUGCCCUUCAAAUGUCCCUUUCCUGCUUAUAACAUUUUAACAUCAUACUUUUCAGUGUUGGUCCUUUAUACAUAAACCUGUCUGGUUGUUGGGUAUAUUGCAGAUUGCUUUUGAAUAUUAUCCG
rnacentral:lncRNA from 1 species